rfam:Opisthorchis viverrini opera_v5_75.21, whole genome shotgun sequence.
UUGCUUCCACGGUAAGUAUGCUAAAACUGGAAUGAUACACAGAAGAUAAACAUGAUAUCUGCGCAAGGAUGACACGCAAAAUUGUGAGGCGUUCCAUAUUUUU